rnacentral:rRNA from 1 species
AGAGUUUGAUCAUGGCUCAGAACGAACGCUGGCGGCGUGGAUAAGACAUGCAAGUCGAACGCUGGUUUGCGGGUAGCAAUAUUUGCAAACUGGAGUGGCGCAAGGGUGUGUAACACGUGGGUAAUCUGCCGUGAAGUCCGGGAUAACUUGCUGAAAGGCGAGCUAAUACCGGAUGUGAACGCAAGUUCAAAGUUGGGGACCGCAAGGCCUGACGCUUCACGAUGAGCCCGCGGCCUAUCAGCUAGUUGGUGAGGUAACGGCUCACCAAGGCUAAGACGGGUAGCUGGUCUGAGAGGACGACCAGCCACACUGGAACUGAGACACGGUCCAGACACCUACGGGUGGCAGCAGUCGAGAAUUUUUCUCAAUGGGCGAAAGCCUGAAGGAGCGACGCCGCGUGGGGGAUGAAUGGCUUCGGCCCGUAAACCCCUGUCAUUUGCGAACAAGUUGAUUCACCUAAUACGUGAAGCAUUGAUUGUAGCGGAAGAGGAAGGGACGGCUAACUCUGUGCCAGCAGCCGCGGUAAUACAGAGGUCCCAAGCGUUGUUCGGAUUCACUGGGCGUAAAGGGUGCGUAGGCGGCCAGGUAAGUUUGAUGUGAAAUCCCGCAGCUCAACUGCGGAACUGCAUUGAAUACUAUUUGGCUUGAGGAAUGGAGGGGAGACUGGAAUUCUCGGUGUAGCAGUGAAAUGCGUAGAUAUCGAGAGGAGCACCAGUGGCGAAGGCGAGUCUCUGGACAUUUCCUGACGCUCAGGCACGAAAGCCAGGGGAGCAAACGGGAUUAGAUACCCCCGUAGUCC